rnacentral:ncRNA from 1 species
CCGCCAUGCUUGAAGUUCUGGCAAAGUGAAGCGUCGGAACCACAGGCGUUCCGGAGGGCAAUUUCCGGGAGGAUCACCGGGUGAAUUGCUGGGAACCCCUUAGAGCCUUCCGUCCGACAACGUAGCCGGAAACGGCAGGCGUGAGCGGUUAAAAAACCGGAAGGAUUGGGCAACCAGCAGCCGAGCCCCUGUACCGAAAGGCUGGGGAAGGUUCAACGACUAGGGCAUACCACCUGCAGCCGCAAGGUAUGGUGAUGAAGCCCGUAGGGUGCAUGGAGGCGCCCGAAGCGCCCGACUCCCGCCGGAAUAGGUGGGAUGAAGAUAUAGUCUAGGCGCCGCCGAAAGGCGGCG